CCUACGGGCGGCUGCAGUGGGGAAUAUUGCACAAUGGGCGCAAGCCUGAUGCAGCCAUGCCGCGUGUGUGAAGAAGGCCUUCGGGUUGUAAAGCACUUUCAGCGGGGAGGAAGGCGGUGAGGUUAAUAACCUCAUCGAUUGACGUUACCCGCAGAAGAAGCACCGGCUAACUCCGUGCCAGCAGCCGCGGUAAUACGGAGGGUGCAAGCGUUAAUCGGAAUUACUGGGCGUAAAGCGCACGCAGGCGGUCUGUCAAGUCGGAUGUGAAAUCCCCGGGCUCAACCUGGGAACGGCAUUCGAAACUGGCAGGCUAGAGUCUUGUAGAGGGGGGUAGAAUUCCAGGUGUAGCGGUGAAAUGCGUAGAGAUCUGGAGGAAUACCGGUGGCGAAGGCGGCCCCCUGGACAAAGACUGACGCUCAGGUGCGAAAGCGUGGGGAGCAAACAGGAUUAGAUACCCUAGUAGUC
rnacentral:rRNA from 1 species